rnacentral:lncRNA from 1 species
ACGAAUAAAGCGGAGAUGGGAUGGCGGCGCCCCCACACCUUAUCAUCCAAAUAUCAUCCAAGUAUCUCCGGGCAGCUUCCGCCACACACGCCGUAACUCCUAUCACCCUACUGCUCCUCAGUCCUCAGUAUACCAUAGCUUGGCUUCCCCGAAUGGCCGUUCCCAUUUAUAACUACUACUGUUCCCCGCUCCUCGGUUGCCUGCCCUGUGCCUUCCCCUUCUCCUCCUUUCCACCGUAUCGUCAGCUACACCUUCUCUCACCCAAUUCUUUACACUCCUCUUCUUCUUCGCUUUACCAUUUAAAAAAUCAAAGUAUUACUAGCGCUACGAUUACGGUAUGAUGAGAGGAUCUCAUUUACUGAUGCUUGCUCAACUCUUUUCGGAAAAGAAAUCGACGGAAUUGGAAGAAGGAAGAAACAGCUACAGUUAAAAAAGAUUUCAGGCCCAAAUCGGGCAGAAAGCAACGGAAAGCGCAGAAAGGCAGCAAAAUAUAUUUUUAAAUUGCCCAUUCUACCCCUAAAAAACUGUUGAAUAAAAUAUUUAUUUACUUAUAUAUCCAAAAUCACCUGCUUUCUUUCAUAAACUCCCAAACAACAUUAAAAUAUCUUCUCUUCUUUUCUUAUCCUUUCUUCCCUCUCGUAACUUAACCUCUCUCUUCUUUUCUUUUCUAUCCUCAACUCACAAACUAGCUAUAAAUCUCAUUGGAUUAGGAAUUAAAAACCAGAAGAAGGAGCUGUUUGGGGGUGAAGGUGUAAUAUAACUGUAAGAGAAAGGGCCGAAGCACGAAUAAAGCGGAGAUGGGAUGGCGGCGCCCCCACACCUUAUCAUCCAAAUAUCAUCCAAGUAUCUCCGGGCAGCUUCCGCCACACACGCCGUAACUCCUAUCACCCUACUGCUCCUCAGUCCUCAGUAUACCAUAGCUUGGCUUCCCCGAAUGGCCGUUCCCAUUUAUAACUACUACUGUUCCCCGCUCCUCGGCUGCCUGCCCUGUGCCUUCCCCUUCUCCUCCUUUCCACCGUAUCGUCAGCUACACCUUCUCUCACCCAAUUCUUUACACUCCUCUUCUUCUUCGCUUUACCAUUUAAAAAAUCAAAGUAUUACUAGCGCUACGAUUACGGUAUGAUGAGAGGAUCUCAUUUACUGAUGCUUGCUCAACUCUUUUCGGAAAAGAAAUCGACGGAAUUGGAAGAAGGAAGAAACAGCUACAGUUAAAAAAGAUUUCCGGCCCAAAUCGGGCAGAAAGCAACGGAAAGCGCAGAAAGGCAGCAAAAUAUAUUUUUAAAUUGCCCAUUCUACCCCUAAAAAACUGUUGAAUAAAAUAUUUAUUUACUUAUAUAUCCAAAAUCACCUGCUUUCUUUCAUAAACUCCCAAACAACAUUAAAAUAUCUUCUCUUCUUUUCUUAUCCUUUCUUCCCUCUCGUAACUUAACCUCUCUCUUCUUUUCUUUUCUAUCCUCAACUCACAAACUAGCUAUAAAUCUCAUUGGAUUAGGAAUUAAAAACCAGAAGAAGGAGCUGUUUGGGGGUGAAGGUGUAAUAUAACUGUAAGAGAAAGGGCCGAAGCACGAAUAAAGCGGAGAUGGGAUGGCGGCGCCCCCACACCUUAUCAUCCAAAUAUCAUCCAAGUAUCUCCGGGCAGCUUCCGCCACACACGCCGUAACUCCUAUCACCCUACUGCUCCUCAGUCCUCAGUAUACCAUAGCUUGGCUUCCCCGAAUGGCCGUUCCCAUUUAUAACUACUACUGUUCCCCGCUCCUCGGCUGCCUGCCCUGUGCCUUCCCCUUCUCCUCCUUUCCACCGUAUCGUCAGCUACACCUUCUCUCACCCAAUUCUUUACACUCCUCUUCUUCUUCGCUUUACCAUUUAAAAAAUCAAAGUAUUACUAGCGCUACGAUUACGGUAUGAUGAGAGGAUCUCAUUUACUGAUGC